rnacentral:rRNA from 1 species
CCUACGGGAGGCAGCAGUGGGGAAUCUUGCGCAAUGGGCGAAAGCCUGACGCAGCAACGCCGCGUGCGGGAAGAAGGCUUUCGGGCUGUAAACCGCUUUCAGCAGGAACGAAAAUGACGGUACCUGCAGAAGAAGGAGCGGCCAACUAUGUGCCAGCAGCCGCGGUGAUACAUAGGCUUCAAGCGUUGUCCGGAUUUAUUGGGCGUAAAGAGUUCGUAGGCGGUCGAGUAAGUCGGGUGUGAAAAUUCUGGGCUCAACCCAGAGACGCCACCCGAUACUGCUUGACUUGAGUUCGAUAGGGGAGUGGGGAAUUCCUAGUGUAGCGGUGAAAUGCGCAGAUAUUAGGAGGAACACCGGUGGCGAAGGCGCCACUCUGGAUCGAUACUGACGCUGAGGAACGAAAGCAUGGGUAGCAAACAGGAUUAGAUACCCUGGUAGUCCAUGCCGUAAACGGUGGGCACUAGGUGUGGGUUUCUAUUAACGAAAUCCGCGCCGUCGCUAACGCAUUAAGUGCCCCGCCUGGGGGAGGUACGGUCGCGAGAACGUAAACGUAAACGAAGUAGUAAGGUCGUGUUGAGUGCGACGACGACGACGACGGAGGAGGAG